CAGGUAUGGUUACUUUGUUGUAAUAUCAAGACCACUUAUUUUUGUGAUAAAUUAGAUUAUUGUAGGUUGGAAUCUUAUCCUAUUUGUGAACAAAUCAAUCCUAUUGCCUAUCAAUUACAUCUACCAAAGUCUAUGAAUAUCCACCCUAUAUUUUACUUUAUCAUAAUACAUGAAGUCUUGCUUGAAAAUGCUCUAAGCAUCUUGCUGUUGAAGGUAGAAUAGAAAUUAUAACAACUCAAUUCUAAAUCUAAUAGACACAUCAGCAAACAAAGGCUCUUUAGUCGAAUCCAUUGGUUGUUGGUUCUCCAUCUCCAUAGUGUCACAAAUACAAAGAAGCUAUAAACAAGGAUUGAAACAAGAAUGUUAUCUUGUCUAGAUCUUAUUUUUUUUAAUAGAGAAGAUCUUCAUCUUGAUUUUGAUGGAUAUUAUCAAUGAAAAGCCUCCACCUUCUUUGUUGCAUUUGUGAGAUUCUUUGCUGGAUUCCAUAUGUGUUUACUAUUAUUAUAUCCAUGCCAAUGAAUAAGAUAUGCUAAUUUAUUUUGGUGCCACCUUGACUCUAAGACUUCUUCUACUUCAAAUUCUUUAUUAUUGUCCACUUCUAUAAGAG
rnacentral:lncRNA from 1 species